AACGAACGCUGGCGGCAUGCCUAACACAUGCAAGUCGAACGAGACCCUCGGGUCUAGUGGCGCACGGGUGCGUAACGCGUGGUCAUCUGCCCUUGGGUUCGGAAUAACUCAGCGAAAUUUGAGCUAAUACCGGAUGAUGACGUAAGUCCAAAGAUUUAUCGCCCAGGGAUGAGCCCGCGUAGGAUUAGCUAGUUGGUGGGGUAAAGGCCUACCAAGGCGACGAUCCUUAGCUGGUCUGAGAGGAUGAUCAGCCACACUGGGACUGAGACACGGCCCAGACUCCUACGGGAGGCAGCAGUGGGGAAUAUUGGUCAAUGGGCGAAAGCCUGAUCCAGCAAUGCCGCGUGAGUGAUGAAGGCCCUAGGGUUGUAAAGCUCUUUUACCCGGGAAGAUAAUGACUGUACCGGGAGAAUAAGCCCCGGCUAACUCCGUGCCAGCCGCCGCGGUAAUAC
rnacentral:rRNA from 1 species